rnacentral:rRNA from 1 species
GGGGACACGUGCAGAGAGCGGAAGCCGGGAAUGGGAUCCCGGUGCAAGCGAGGUACCAGCCGCAUUGGAAAAACCGUGCGGCAAUGGGAAGACGUGAUGCGGAGUGAAGUUUAGUAAUGAAGUCCGUGAGCUGUGCGUCAAGAAAAGCCGCUAUUGUUCAUACCAUACCCGUACCGUAAACCGACACUGGUGGAUGAGGAGAGAAUCCUAAGGCCGGCGGAAGAAGCAUUGUCAAGGAACUCGGCAAAAUGACCCCGUAACUUCGGGAGAAGGGGUGCCUGCGAGAGCAGGCCGCAGAGAAUAGGCUCAAGCAACUGUUUAGCAAAAACACAGGUCUAUGCGAAACCGAAAGGUGAGGUAUAUGGGCUGACGCCUGCCCGGUGCUGGAAGGUUAAGAGGAGAGGUUAGCGCAAGCGAAGCUUUGAAUUUAAGCCCCAGUAAACGGCGGCCUUAACAAUAACGGUCCUAAGGUAGCGAAAUUCCUUGUCGGGUAAGUUCCGACCCGCACGAAAGGCGUAAUGAUUUGAGCGCUGUCUCGACAAUGCAUCCGGUGAAAUUGAAGUACCAGUGAAGAUGCUGGUUACCUGCGCCAGGACGGAAAGACCCCAUGGAGCUUUACUCCAGUUUGGUACUGGGAUCCGGUACUGCAUGUACAGGAUAGGUGGGAGGCUAUGAAUCGGUAACGCCAGUUGCCGAGGAGCCGCUGUUGGGAUACCACCCUUGCAGUAUUGGGUUUCUAACCAGCCGCCGUGACCCGGCGGUGGGACAAUGCCAGACGGGGAGUUUGACUGGGGCGGUCGCCUCCGAAAGGGUAUCGGAGGCGCCCAAAGGUUCCCUCAGGAUGGACGGAAACCAUCCAAAGAGUGCAAAGGCAGAAGGGAGCUUGACUGCGACACCGACGGGUGGAGCAGGUACGAAAGUAGGGCUUAGUGAUCCGGUGGUAUUAAGUGGGAAUGCCAUCGCUCAACGGAUAAAAGCUACCCUGGGAUAACAGGCAUAUCACUCCCAAGAGUUCACAUCGACGGAGUGGUUUGGCACCUCGAUGUCGGCUCAUCGCAUCCUGGGGCUGUAGUAGGUCCCAAGGGUUGGGCUGUUCGCCCAUUAAAGCGGUACGCGAGCUGGGUUCAGAACGUCGUGAGACAGUUCGGUCCCUAUCCGGCGUGGGCGUAGGAUAUCUGAGAGGAGCUGUCCUUAGUACGAGAGGACCGGGAUGGACGGGCCGCUGGUGCACCGGUUAGACUGCCAAGUCUAUAGCCGGGUAGCCAAGCCCGGAAGGGAUAAACGCUGAAGGCAUCUAAGCGUGAAGCCCCCCUCAAGAUGAGAUAUCCCAUCCGAAAGGAGUAAACCCCCUUGAAGACGACGAGGUCGAUAGGGCAGAGGUGGAAGUGUGGUAACACAUGGAGCUGACUGCUACUAAUAGGGUGAGGGCUUGACC